rnacentral:rRNA from 1 species
GAUGAACGCUGGCGGCGUGCCUAAUACAUGCAAGUCGAGCGAACCUCUUCGGAGGUGAGCGGCGAACGGGUGAGUAACACGUAGGUCAUCUACCCAUUAGACGGGGAUAACGUUUGGAAACGAACGCUAAUACCGGAUAGGAUGAAAAUUUAAAGAUGCUUUCGGGCAUCGCUAAUGGAUGAGCCUGCGGCGCAUUAGCUAGUUGGAAGGGUAAGAGCCUCCCAAGGCAACGAUGCGUAGCCGACCUGAGAGGGUGAACGGCCACACUGGGACUGAGACACGGCCCAGACUCCUACGGGAGGCAGCAGUAGGGAAUCUUCGGCAAUGGACG